CUAUCCAUUUCAGUCAAAAAUACUAAAUGUACAGACAAAAUAUUUUUACUAUUUACUAUUUUAUUAUAUGUAUAGAUAAUGCAAAUCUUAAAUUUACUUUUACCCGCUACAAACCUAACCGUUCCCGACACUUCUGAAUAGUAUCUGAUGCGGGUUGCAGCGCAGCCGCGUGAGGAACGCGUGGAACAGCCGGUCGCCGUGCGCGGGCGCCGCCUCUUCGUACAUUUCAUCUUCGCAACCCGCCACUGCGCCGCGGUCUCCACCACACGAUAAUUCCAUUUCUAAGAAGUAUGAAAUGAAUGGCAUAAGCAUAUUCUAAGAAAUAUUUAUUUAAACUUCUUCACGUAAAAUGUACAAUAUGAACUUAAUGUCAUAUGGCAUCCUCUGCCAGUUGAAAAUGUGGACCAAAACUUAGAUGAAUAUAUAUGCGUGGUACGAUCUAGGGGCCUGGAGGCUUAGGAUGGGCACAAUUUUUUGGGGCAAAGGUUCACUGAAGAGCUUUUUUUACAGAUAUAUGAAUGAAUUUUUAAAAAAGAGUCUAUGAUUGUAGACAAACAUUCAUAUAUGUCGAGAAUACUGAGAGCAACUAACUUACCAUUGUCUUGCUUAUAUUUAUUUAGUAGCUCUGUGACUUUGUCAUCAUUCAUUGAUGCCUUCCUCCAUUCUUCUUCCACAUAAAUAUAUUUUGGGACAAAUUGCAAGGGCCCACAUACAAGUCGGUUUCUAAUAUCUGGUGGUAACUCUGCUGUCUAAAAUAAAUGAAAAAGUAAAUUAUUUUUAAAAACAUCUGUUCUUAUAUUUUCCAAAUUUUACUUGAAGUCAAAUAUUUAACGUCAUA